UGGGGAAUUUUGGACAAUGGGCGAAAGCCUGAUCCAGCAAUGCCGCGUGUGUGAAGAAGGCCUUCGGGUUGUAAAGCACUUUUGUCCGGAAAGAAAUCCUUGGCUCUAAUACAGUCGGGGGAUGACGGUACCGGAAGAAUAAGCACCGGCUAACUACGUGCCAGCAGCCGCGGUAAUACGUAGGGUGCAAGCGUUAAUCGGAAUUACUGGGCGUAAAGCGUGCGCAGGCGGUUUGCUAAGACCGAUGUGAAAUCCCCGGGCUCAACCUGGGAACUGCAUUGGUGACUGGCAGGCUAGAGUAUGGCAGAGGGGGGUAGAAUUCCACGUGUAGCAGUGAAAUGCGUAGAGAUGUGGAGGAAUACCGAUGGCGAAGGCAGCCCCCUGGGCCAAUACUGACGCUCAUGCACGAAAGCGUGGGGAGCAAACAGGAUUAGAUACCCUGGUAGUCCACGCCCUAAACGAUGUCAACUAGUUGUUGGGGAUUCAUUUCCUUAGUAACGUAGCUAACGCGUGAAGUUGACCGCCUGGGGAGUACGGUCGCAAGAUUAAAACUUAAAGGAAAUUGACGGGGUCAUAGCUG
rnacentral:rRNA from 1 species